AAAAAACUUCGUUCUCUCCAUCAGUGGUUAGAGAGGGGAGUGAUGUGGUGAGCCGUUACCACAAUACAUUUAGGCCGGGUUGGAAAACGUAUAAAUCAAUUGGUAAACAUGUUUUUCGGCGGCACAACCGGUCAUCGCGUCAGUUGACGUAUGUAUAGUUUUAUACCGACGCCUCCUAUAUUUCGUAACCACCGUUAUCACCACGCAUUCGAGGGAUCAAUUGCGCACUCAAUAAACACAGUCUUUGCUUGAUGAAAACAAUUACUAUUAUCGCGAAGUAUGUGAUAAAGUGAUCCAAGUUAGACAAGUAACGGGUGACGUUCUGAACGGUGAUGUGACCAAGACGGCGGUAAUCCCCUCAGCAACGAAGUGAUCUGUUCGUUUUUGGACGGCAGGCGGAGCGGUCUUGGCCAAGCGUUGCAUGAGGGGAGAAUGGUCAUUUGUUUGCGUAGGAAAGCGUAUUCACGACGUGCGAUAUUGAUCCGGUCUGGUGACAACUUCCGAGAUCAAGCACAACAUGGCGGGUCUAUUGUCUGGAGAACGUGUUCAACUUCGACCGAUGUAUACCUCACGGCAGCAAACGAAGUUCGAAACUAAAAUGGAUCUUUUAAAUAACAACGUUUCGCGUUCGAUCGUUCCUGAGGGUUUCCGGCACGGAGUCAGACAACAGGCCGUGACUUCGAAUUAUUACACAAACACGUGAUCAUUCACCCCUCAUUCAGCUUUUGGCCGAGGCAACUUCUCUUGGUGCUCAAGAAGGACAAGUCAUUCGACCCUGUAGAUACUACCGUCUAAAUCCUGUAAAACGCGGACCGUAACCGCUGCUCACUCGCAUCA